rnacentral:tRNA from 1 species
GAGGGUAUAGCUCAGUGGUAGAGUAUGUGCCUAGCAUGUACAUGGUCCUGGGUUCAAUCGCCAGUACUUCCA